GAUGAACGCUAGCUACAGGCUUAACACAUGCAAGUCGAGGGGAAACGGCAUCGAAAGCUUGCUUUUGAUGGGCGUCGACCGGCGCACGGGUGAGUAACGCGUAUCCAACCUGCCCAUCACUUGGGAAUAACCUUGUGAAAGUAAGACUAAUGCCCAAUGACAUCCCACGAAGGCAUCCGAAUGGGAUUAAAGAUUUAUCGGUGAUGGAUGGGGAUGCGUCUGAUUAGCUUGUUGGCGGGGUGACGGCCCACCAAGGCAACGAUCAGUAGGGGUUCUGAGAGGAAGGUCCCCCACAUUGGAACUGAGACACGGUCCAAACUCCUACGGGAGGCAGCAGUGAGGAAUAGUGGUCAAUGGGCGAGAGCCUGAACCAGCCAAGUAGCGUGCAGGAUGACGGCCCUAUGGGUUGUAAACUGCUUUUAUAAGGGAAUAAAGUGGGUCACGUGUGACUUUUUGCAUGUACCUUAUGAAUAAGGACCGGCUAAUUCCGUG
rnacentral:rRNA from 1 species